GAUGAACGCUAGCGGCAGGCUUAACACAUGCAAGUCGAGGGGUAUGCCGAUUUAUCGGCAGAGACCGGCGCACGGGUGCGUAACGCGUAUGCAAUCUACCUUUCACAGAGGGAUAGCCCAGAGAAAUUUGGAUUAAUACCUCAUAGUAUAGCGGUUUCGCAUGAAACCACUAUUAAAGUUCCAACGGUGAAAGAUGAGCAUGCGUCCCAUUAGCUAGAUGGUAAGGUAACGGCUUACCAUGGCUACGAUGGGUAGGGGUCCUGAGAGGGAGAUCCCCCACACUGGUACUGAGACACGGACCAGACUCCUACGGGAGGCAGCAGUGAGGAAUAUUGGACAAUGGGCGCAAGCCUGAUCCAGCCAUGCCGCGUGCAGGAUGACGGUCCUAUGGAUUGAAACUGCUUUGUACGGAACGAAAAGGCUCUUUCGUAAUAAAGAGGGCCCAUGACGGUACCGUAAGAAUAAGCACCGGCUAACUACGUGCCAGCAG
rnacentral:rRNA from 1 species